UACGGGGGGGGGCAAGCGUUGUUCGGAAUUACUGGGCGUAAAGCGCGCGUAGGCGGACCUGCAAGUCGGGGGUGAAAGCCCGAGGCUCAACCUCGGAACUGCCUUCGAUACUGCGGGUCUCGAGUCCGGGAGAGGUGAGUGGAAUUCCUAGUGUAGCGGUGAAAUGCGCAGAUAUCAGGAGGAACACCAAUUGCGAAGGCAGCUCGCUGGGACGUUACUGACGCUGAGACGCGAAAGCGUGGGGAGCAAACAGG
rnacentral:rRNA from 1 species